rnacentral:rRNA from 1 species
UACGAAGGGGGCUAGCGUUGCUCGGAAUUACUGGGCGUAAAGGGAGCGUAGGCGGACAGUUAAGUCAGUGGUGAAAGCCCAGGGCUCAACCCUGGAAUUGCCUUUGAUACUGAUUGUCUUGAGUAUGGGAGAGGUAUGCGGAACUCCGAGUGUAGAGGUGAAAUUCGUAGAUAUUCGGAAGAACACCAGUGGCGAAGGCGGCAUACUGGCCCAUUACUGACGCUGAGGCUCGAAAGCGUGGGAGCAAACAGGG